CCUACGGGCGGCAGCAGUGGGGAAUAUUGGGCAAUGGGCGCAAGCCUGACCCAGCAACGCCGCGUGAAGGAAGAAGGCUUGCGGGAUGUAAACUUCUCUUAAGAGGGAAGAGCAGAAGACGGUACCUCUUGAAUAAGCCACGGCUCACUACGUGCCCGCAGCCGGCGUAAUACGUAGGUGGAAAGCGUUGUCCGGAUGUAGUGUGUGUAAGGGGCGUGGAGCCGGGCUGACAAGUCAGAUGUGAAAUUCCGGGGCUCAACCCCGGACCUGCACGUGAAACUGUUGGUCUUGAGUAUCGGAGAGGCAGGCGGAAUUCCUAGUGUAGCGGUGAAAUGCGUAGAUAUUAGGAGGAACACCAGUGGCGAAGGCGGCCUGCUGGACGACAACUGACGGUGAGGCGCGAAAGCGUGGGGAGCAAACAGGAUUAGAUACCCGAGUAGUC
rnacentral:rRNA from 1 species